UACGUAGGGUGCGAGCGUUAAUCGGAAUUACUGGGCGUAAAGCGUGCGCAGGCGGUUUUGUAAGCCAGAUGUGAAAUCCCCGGGCUUAACCUGGGAAUGGCAUUUGGGACUGCAAGGCUGGAGUGUGGCAGAGGAGACUGGAAUUCCUGGUGUAGCAGUGAAAUGCGUAGAUAUCAGGAGGAACACCGGUGGCGAAGGCGACUACCUGGCCUGUUCUUGACGCUGAGGCGCGAAAGCUAGGGGAGCAAACGGG
rnacentral:rRNA from 1 species